rnacentral:rRNA from 1 species
GACGAACGCUGGCGGCGUGCCUAAUACAUGCAAGUCGAGCGAUGAAGAUUGGUGCUUGCACCAAUUUGAAGAGCAGCGAACGGGUGAGUAACGCGUGGGGAAUCUGCCUUUGAGCGGGGGACAACAUUUGGAAACGAAUGCUAAUACCGCAUAACAACUUUAAACAUAAGUUUUAAGUUUGAAAGAUGCAAUUGCAUCACUCAAAGAUGAUCCCGCGUUGUAUUAGCUAGUUGGUGAGGUAAAGGCUCACCAAGGCGAUGAUACAUAGCCGACCUGAGAGGGUGAUCGGCCACAUUGGGACUGAGACACGGCCCAAACUCCUACGGGAGGCAGCAGUAGGGGAUCUUCGGCAAUGGAGGAAAGUCUGAACGAGCAAAGCCGCGUGAGUGGAGGAGGGUUUCGGAUCGUAAAACUCUGUUGGUAGAGGAGAAAGUUGGUGAGAGUGGAAAGCUCAUAAAGUGACGGUAACUACCCAGAAAGGGACGGCUAACUACGUG